UACGGAGGUGGCGAGCGUUGUCCGAAGUUACUGGGCGUAAAGCGCGCGUAGGCGGGUCGCCAAGUCCGCUGUGAAAGGCCGGGGCUCAACCCCGGUUCGUCGGCGGAUACUGGCGGCCUUGAGAGGGCUAGGGGAAGGUGGAAUUGCCGGUGUAGCGGUGAAAUGCGUAGAUAUCGGCAGGAACACCCGUGGCGAAGGCGGCCUUCUGGGGCCUUUCUGACGCUGAGGCGCGAAAGCCGGGGGAGCGAACGGG
rnacentral:rRNA from 1 species